CAUCUAAGGUAUCUUGAUCUUUCUGGGAAUGAAAGGAUCAAGAUACUUCCUGAUUCUAUUACAAGACUGCAGAACUUACAAAUUCUGAAACUGGUAGAGUGCAUGGCACUUGAACAAUUGCCAAAAGACAUAAAAAAGUUGGUCAAUCUUAGGCAACUUAGCCUGGAAUCAUGUUAUUCCUUAAGUCAUAUGCCUCGUGGGAUUGGGAAAUUGACAUGCCUUGUAAAAUUAUCAAACUUCCUUGUUGCCAGAGAUAGUUCUGUCUCCAAGCAUAGUGGUGGACUUGAUGAAUUACAUGCCUUAAACAACUUGAGAGGAACGCUACGAAUCAGUUUAGGAUAUGCAGUGAAAAAUAGAGCACCAGCAUCAGAUUUUGAGGCUGCCAAUUUGAAAGAGAAGCAACACAUUCAAUCCUUGAAAUUAUCAUGGAAAUUGGGCCCUCCCUACGAUAAUGAUAGUGAUAGUGGUCCGGAUGAUGUUGAAAAUGAUGGAGAAAUGUCAUUAGAAGAGCUACGGCCACACCUUAAUCUAAAAGCGUUGUUUGUGUUUGGGUGCGGAAGACUCU
rnacentral:misc_RNA from 1 species